GGGCAUACCCGUAGACCUUGCCUAUCUCUGCUCAUGGACAGGCAGGGGGGACAGUGUAUGCAAGAGUAACAUGGAGUUCAUGACAGCUCUAGUCAGCUUUAUUCGUAGCCGAAUAAAUUGCAAAACUCCUACAUUC